rnacentral:rRNA from 1 species
AUUGAACGCUGGCGGCAGGCCUAACACAUGCAAGUCGAGCGAGUGGCGGACGGGUGAGUCAUGUCUGGAAAACUGCCUGCUGGAGGGGGAUAACUACUGGAAACGGUAGCUAAUCACGCAUACCAUCGCAUGUGCCCAGAUGGGAUUAGCUCGUGGGUGAGAUAACGGCUCACCUAGGCGACGCUCCCUAGCUGGUCUGAGAGGAUGACCAGGCACACUGUAAAAAUGAGACGGGCCAGACUCCGAAGGGUGGCAGGAUUGGGGAAUAUUGCACAAUGGGCGAAAGCGUGAUGUGACAAUGCAGCGUGUGUGAAGAAGGCAUUCGGGCUGUUAAGUACUUUCAGCGUUGGGGCGUGUCCCACAGAAGAAGCACCGGCUAACUCCGUGCCAGCAGCCGCGGUAAUAC